GGGUGAGUAACGCGUAUCCAACCUGCCCACCACUUGGGGAUAACCUUGCGAAAGUAAGACUAAUACCCAAUGACGUCUCUAGAAGGCAUCUGAAAGAGAUUAAAGAUUUAUCGGUGAUGGAUGGGGAUGCGUCUGAUUAGCUUGUUGGCGGGGUAACGGCCCACCAAGGCAACGAUCAGUAGGGGUUCUGAGAGGAAGGUCCCCCACAUUGGAACUGAGACACGGUCCAAACUCCUACGGGAGGCAGCAGUGAGGAAUAUUGGUCAAUGGACGAGAGUCUGAACCAGCCAAGUAGCGUGCAGGAAGACGGCCCUAUGGGUUGUAAACUGCUUUUAUAAGGGAAUAAAGUGAGUCUCGUGAGACUUUUUGCAUGUACCUUAUGAAUAAGGACCGGCUAAUUCCGUGCCAGCAGCCGCGGUAAUACGGAAGGUCCGGGCGUUAUCCGGAUUUAUUGGGUUUAAAGGGAGCGUAGGCCGGAGAUUAAGCGUGUUGUGAAAUGUAGACGCUCAACGUCUGCACUGCAGCGCGAACUGGUUUCCUUGAGUACGCACAAAGUGGGCGGAAUUCGUGGUGUAGCGGUGAAAUGCUUAGAUAUCACGAAGAACUCCGAUUGCGAAGGCAGCUCACUGGAGCGCAACUGACGCUGAAGCUCGAAAGUGCGGGUAUCGAACAGGAUUAGAUACCCUGGUAGUCCGCACGGUAAGCGAUGGAUGCCCGCUGUUGGUCUGAAUAGGUCAGCGGCCAAG
rnacentral:rRNA from 1 species